rnacentral:misc_RNA from 1 species
GGAGUGCAGGCCGUUGGGAAGAAGAAGAAUAGAUGUUUUCUAGGGCGGCAAGGGCUCAAAGCUAGUCUCUUUCCAUGGUGUGUCGGCAAAAGCUACGUUUCUUAAUAGAGUUCGCUUUCUUUAUCUCUCCGGUAGCAAGUCAAAUAAUGUAGGAAUCGUUCUGUAGCAAGAGUCUUUAUCCGGGGAAGAGCUUUACAGGCUGUACAAAAAG